UACGGAGGGGGCAAGCGUUAUCCGGAUUUACUGGGUUUAAAGGGUGCGCAGGCGGAUAUGUAAGUCAGUGGUGAAAUCUUCCCGCUUAACGGGAAAACUGCCGUUGAUACUAUAUAUCUUGAAUGCUGUGGAGGUAAGCAGAAUAUGUCAUGUAGCGGUGAAAUGCUUAGAUAUGACAUAGAACACCCAUUGCGAAGGCAGCUAACUACACGAUCAUUGACACUGAGGCACGAAAGCGUGGGGAGCAAACAGG
rnacentral:rRNA from 1 species